GAUGAACGCUGGCGGCGUGCCUAAUACAUGCAAGUCGAACGGAGGUCCGCAAGGAUCUUAGUGGCGAACGGGUGAGUAACGCGUUGGUGACCUGCCCCGAAGCGAGGGAUAACAGACCGAAAGGUUUGCUAAUACCCCAUGUGCUGGUGGAAGACUAGAAGUCUGCCAGUAAAGCCGAAAGGCACUUUGGGAGGGGCCUGCGUCCCAUCAGCUAGUUGGUAAGGUAACGGCUUACCAAGGCGAUGACGGGUAGGGGACCUGAGAGGGUGGCCCCCCAAAAUGGAACUGAAACACGGUCCAUACACCUACGGGUGGCAGCAGUAGGGGAUAUUGGUGAAUGGGCGAAAGCCUGAACCAGCAACGCCGCGUGUGCGAUGAAGGCCUUCGGGUUGUAAAGCACUUUUCACCGGGAAGAGUAAGGACGGUACCGGUAGAAUCAGCCUCGGCUAACUACGUGCCAGCAGCCGCAGUAAUAC
rnacentral:rRNA from 1 species